CACUGGGCCGCUCCGCGCCGCUCCUCGCUUCCCUCCGGGGAGCCGCCGACCUACGGAAUCGGAGCGGGGCGCUCCGUGCCGCCUUUCGGCCCGCGGGGUGCGAAAGGAGCUGUGCUGCGCCGGGUGCCGGGAUCUCGGGCCGCCUGGGACGCUGCUGAGUUCCUAUCGGUCUUCUUGGCUGGCGGCUGGGUAAAAUCCUGGUCGGAGUUGCACGGACUGAUGAAAUUGACCCUGAGCUCCAUCUUGCUUGGCGCUCUAAACGUCUUCUGAUGAAACGCGAAGAACACGCGGUCACAAAUUGGUUGUGCGACAAUCUUAUGAACUACUGUAUGUCAGAGCGUGCUAAGAUCUCUAGCCCUAAAAGCUCUAGGCGUUGGCUGAAGCAUCGCCGUGUAGUGCUGAGGUGGGCCCUGAAUUUCUGAGCUGGAAAUGAGGGUACAAAGAAUGGAGUCUAAGCCCUCAAGAAUUCCUCGAAGGAUAUCUGUCCAGGCCUCCAGCUCUACUCUAGGAUCUAGAACAUUAACUGGAAACAGUUUAGCUGGUGCAUAUAGUGCAAGAGAUUCUUCACGGAGAUUAGACUCUGGUUACCAGGUAAUGCGUUUUGACUCUCUCGGUAAAGUGUAAAUUCAUUUAAUGUCUCUUUCUCACUGAGAAGAACCCUAAAGGUGGUGCACAGAGAUACAGAUUCAAAAAGGGGGAUGGGGUGACAUACAGAAAAAUCUCAGCCAGGGCUUUGCAUUUGUGAAUGGGAAAUAUAAUUAACUGUAUGAUCAAUUAAUUGAUGACCAGGCCAAUGAAAGUUUUUUUGCAUAGUGAACUAGCAGUUCUAGCUUUGACAUCUUUACCUGCUCUUGUUUGUAGCUGCUCCCUUAGAAAUGAACUGAGUGAUGACAGAAGAGUAGCCAGAUACUGUGAAUCUAUUUUGACUGUAGUUACUGCUGUCCUUAAUGUGUGUAGAAUCUGGCUUUCUGUUGAGUGUAGGUGAGGAUUAUGCUUGAAUUUCAGCGUGUAUAGGGUGUUACACUUCAUGUGUGGAUAGUGAUGCAGGAAGUACAGGAAUGUAUUGCAGUUCUAAGAGUUGACGGUAGGAUGUGCUGCUUUGGAGUACCUACUUACUGUCUUUGCAUUUUGUAAGGGUAAGAAGAGACCCUUUAGGCUGACAUCGUGCUAUCAAGUUAGUAUAUUAAUGCAGCUAGACUUGACAGUAGAUGGGGCUGUGAUAGAGACCUGCUCUUUCACUUGCAGUAUUUAACUCAAACCAAAUUGCUUUUGUGGGGUAAGGAAGCUGUACUCCGAACUAAAAAGCCAUACUGUGCAGAUGCUUUCACUUUGAAAGCACGUACAGAUUAAGCUAAUUCAGAAGUAGUUUUGGGUCACCUGGAAUCAACAGAGGAUGGUUUGGCUCAAAUAUUAUGUUGCUUCUGCACCUGUCAGCAGUUCUCACAUAAAAUUUUUAGGCCUGGAAACAUAAGCACAGUUUUUGUCUUCAAAGCUGCAGAAUUGCAACUUCAUGGCUAAAUGUUCAUGUUUAUUUGAUAAAAUGGUUAUGAAUCUGGUCACUUCUAACAAGUUGUGUAGGACUCUGUGUUAUAUAAAGCCUUUUCCAGAAGCUGUUUUAGAAGUAAAGCAACAUUUUGUGAUCUAUAGCACAACAUAGCACAACAUAUAUAGAACUACAUGUUACAUUUUGCAAUGUCUAGCACACACGUGUUUGUUGGUAUAUAGGCUACCAAGAGCAUCUGAGGGUAGUCUGCAGUCAGUUUUGAUUUUUGGACUUCUACCUUUUUUUCUCUGACUGCUCAGCAAAACCAAAUCUGAUAGUCUUGUUCUUUCAUAGGAUUUAUGAACCCACAUGGUCCAGUAUCAUACAGAAAGCUCUUGACAGAAGAUGAGUCUCAAGCUGAACAGCUGCUGUGAAGUUAGAUGUGUUACCAAACAGUCUUCCUAGUAUUAAGAAAUAGGGAGGAUUAUAUGCUUGUUUAUUACAUGAAGUUCAUUGUGUACUGUGCAUUAGCAUUUGGUUAUUUUCUGCUGAGCAAUGUGCCUGUAAUCUAUGGAAUGUUUUUUACAGUGCUUUCCAGGUAAAACAAUGUAGAACGUUGUUGUAUCCCUUCUUUCCACUCUGAUUUAUAGGAAGUAGUCUGAGAGAUUGUUAUUUAAGACUAUUGCUUAGCAGUAAGCGUAGGGGAAUCUCCUAGUCUUUGCUACUUACAGAGCUGUUGUAUGAAAAUUGCUGUAUUGCUUGCAGGUUAAGAUUUCAGUUGGUUGGGGCAAAAAAGACAGCUAGUCUAAAUAAGAUUAGGGUUAGCAGGAAUGGAAUAGACAGGUAUUUCUUCAUUGUUCCAAUUCAUUUAGAAGUCUACCUUUUUUUAAAAAAAAAAAAGUAUUUAAAAGAUCUGUCAUUUAGAACAAAAGUGUAGUACUUGGUUUGCGUAAAGAGAACUUGUGCAGUUUAGACUAUUGCAAGAGAACAUAAUUAUAUAUUAACUAAAAAUAACUUUUUGGAUACAGAGCAGUCAGACUUAAGCAUUUGGUUUUGACUAGUGCUUAAAAAAAGCCAGUUUCUAUUGUGUGGAUAGUUCAGUACAUUUUUCAUCUAGGUACAGAUUCUUGUAUGUGCUUUCAUGUAUACUGUCAUACGGAGAUCCUUCUGAGUGGCAAAUUCAUGUAAUUUGGCAUAGCUGAAAGCCAAAACAAUAUCGGAAGAAAAAGAGAAGAAAAAAGAAAGAAAAGCUUACUUAUAUGCACCAUUAUGUUUUUAGCCUCUGUUUGUCUGAGAAGGCACAACAAUCACGCUAGUAAUAAACAGAUUUGAGAUAUGUGUCAUACCAUUGUUUUUAGGUAACCUACAAUACAAAUUCCAAAAUAUUGUAAUAGUACAAGAAAAAAGUCUUACAUUUUAUGAUGGAGGCAAUCCAGUAGGCUCCUGGAACACACUGAGGACAACUGAUAACUGAAGCUAUUCCUCACCGAUGCAUAUGAACUGGUUGGUGACAUCAGGUUUGGAGGCUGCCUGGGCUGUAGUGAACGUGCUCAAGUCAACGUGGUCAAGUUCAUGCUCCUGAUUGAUACGAGACAGGCAAAGAGUAGAAUUAGGGUGGUAAAUUUUAGGAAAGUUACCUUCCAGCUCUUCGGGGAGUUAGUCAACAAAACACCCUGUGAAAUUGUCCUUAUGGGCAAGGAUGUAGAGCAGAGAUAGCAGAUAUUUAAGGAAGCAUUUCUUAGGGCUUGCUCCCCAGGUGUAGCAAGUCAGGGAAGGAAGGCAAGACACCAGCAUGGCUGAACUGGGACCUGCCGGUCAAACUGAAGAGCAAGAAGAAAAUCCAUGGGCAGUGGAAACAGGGACAGAUUGUGUGGGAAGAAUGUAAGGAAGGUAUGGAAGGGACCAGGAAAGCCAAGGCUCAGCUUGAACUAAACUUGGCAAGGGAUGCCGGGAAGAACAAGGAAGCCUUCUAUAGCUACC